rnacentral:rRNA from 1 species
GGGUUGUUGCUGGCUCUCUAGGGAGCGCAUGUGCACGCCUUGUCAUCUUUAUAUCUCCACCUGUGCACCUUUUGUAGACCUUUCGGGGUCUAUGUUGCUUCAUUUUUCCACAAUGUAUGUUAAUAGAAUGUUGUGCCCUGUAUAAUAUAUACAACUUUCAGCAACGGAUCUCUUGGCUCUCGCAUCGAUGAAGAACGCAGCGAAAUGCGAUAAGUAAUGUGAAUUGCAGAAUCCAGUGAAUCAUCGAAUCUUUGAACGCACCUUGCGCUCCUUGGUAUUCCGAGGAGCAUGCCUGUUUGAGUGUCAUUAAUAUACAUAUAUCAAGCCUUCUCUUGUAGAAGGGUUUGGAUGUGGGGGUUUGCUGGCCUCUUAAUCUUAAGAGUUCAGCUCUCCUGAAAUGCAUUAGCAGAACAACCUUAUGUUCAUUGGUGUGAUAACUAUCUACGCUAUUGAAUGUUGAGAGGGAAGUUCAGCUUUCUAACGGUCCCUUGGACAACUCAUCAUUAAUGUGACCUCAAAUCAGGUAGGACUACCCGCUGAACUUAAGCAUAUCAAUAAGCGGAGGAAAAGAAACUAACAAGGAUUCCCCUAGUAACUGCGAGUGAAGCGGGAAAAGCUCAAAUUUAAAAUCUGGCGGUUUUUUUGGCCGUCCGAGUUGUAAUCUAGAGAAGUGUUAUCCGCGCUGGACCGUGUACAAGUCUCCUGGAAUGGAGCAUCAUAGAGGGUGAGAAUCCCGUCUUUGACAUGGACUGCCAGGGCUUUGUGAUGCGCUCUCAAAGAGUCGAGUUGUUUGGGAAUGCAGCUCAAAAUGGGUGGUAAAUUCCAUCU